rnacentral:rRNA from 1 species
UACAGAGGGUGCGAGCGUUAAUCGGAAUUACUGGGCGUAAAGCGCACGUAGGCGGCUUUGUAAGUUAGAGGUGAAAGCCUGGUGCUCAACACCAGAACUGCCUUUAAGACUGCAUCGCUUGAAUCAUGGAGAGGCGGGUGGAAUUCCGAGUGUAGAGGUGAAAUUCGUAGAUAUUCGGAAGAACACCAGUGGCGAAGGCGGCCCGCUGGACAUGUAUUGACGCUGAGGUGCGAAAGCGUGGGGAGCAAACAGG